CCUACGGGUGGCAGCAGUGAGGAAUAUUGGUCAAUGGACGAGAGUCUGAACCAGCCAAGUAGCGUGAAGGAUGACUGUCCUAUGGGUUGUAAACCUCUUUUAUAUGGGAAUAAAUCGUUCUACGUGUGGGAUUUUGUAUGUAUCAUAUGAAUAAGGAUCGGCUAACUCCGCGCCAGCAGCCGCGGUAAUACGGAGGAUCCGAGCGUUAUCCGGAUUUAUUGGGUUUAAAGGGAGCGUAGGUGGAUUGUUAAGUCAGUUGUGAAAGUUUGCGGCUCAACCGUAAAAUUGCAGUUGAAACUGGCAGUCUUGAGUACAGUAGAGGUGGGCGGAAUUCGUGGUGUAGCGGUGAAAUGCUUAGAUAUCACGAAGAACUCCGAUUGCGAAGGCAGUUCACUGGACUGCAACUGACACUGAGGCGCGAAAGUGUGGGUAUCAAACAGGAUUAGAUACCCGUGUAGUC
rnacentral:rRNA from 1 species